UACAGAGGGGGCAAGCGUUGUCCGGAUUUACUGGGCGUAAAGGGCGCGUAGGCGGUCAGCACAAGUCAGUUGUGAAAUCUCCGGGCUUAACUCGGAAAGGUCAACUGAUACUGUGCGACUAGAGUGCAGAAGGGGCAACUGGAAUUCUCGGUGUAGCGGUGAAAUGCGUAGAUAUCGAGAGGAACACCUGCGGCGAAGGCGGGUUGCUGGGCUGACACUGACGCUGAUGCGCGAAAGCCAGGGGAGCGAACGGG
rnacentral:rRNA from 1 species